AGCUUUGCGCAGUGACAGUGUGGUAGCCAAUAAGGGUUAUCCGAGGUGUGAUUAUUGCUAACUGAAAACUUAAGUGGGGAGUUGCAUGUGCCUUAGGGGCCAGGCAGAUAAAGCAAAUGAGAAUAGCCGCCCAGGA
rnacentral:snRNA from 1 species